rnacentral:rRNA from 1 species
UACGUAGGGUGCGAGCGUUGUCCGGAAUUAUUGGGCGUAAAGGGCUCGUAGGCGGUCUGUCGCGUCGGGAGUGAAAACUCAGGGCUUAACCCUGAGCCUGCUUCCGAUACGGGCAGACUAGAGGUAUGCAGGGGAGAACGGAAGUUCUGGUGUAGCGGUGGAAUGCGCAGAUAUCAGGAGGAACACCGGUGGCGAAGGCGGUUCUCUGGGCAUUACCUGACGCUGAGGAGCGAAAGUGUGGGGAGCGAACAGG